CUGCAUGGCUGUCGUCAGCUCGUGUCGUGAGAUGUUGGGUUAAGUCCCGCAACGAGCGCAACCCUUGCCUUUAGUUGCCAGCAGUUCGGCUGGGCACUCUAAAGGGACUGCCGGUGUUAAACCGGAGGAAGGUGGGGAUGACGUCAAGUCCUCAUGGCCUUUAUGACCAGGGCUACACACGUACUACAAUGGCCGAUACAAAGGGCAGCGACACUGCGAAGGUGAAGCCAAUCCCGUAAAACUCCGGUCUCAGUCCGGAUUGGAGUCUGCAACUCGACUCCAUGAAGUUGGAAUCGCUAGUAAUCGUGGAUCAGCAUGCCACGGUGAAUACGUUCCCGGGCCUU
rnacentral:rRNA from 1 species